CCAUGUCAGAGGGGAAUGUGGACAGCGGGAGACCAUGCAAUGUAGAGUUGUAUCUGAUUGGCUGUAAUAAAGAUCUGAUGACCAUGAGCUGGGCAGAAAGUGGAUGGUGGAUUUUCCAGGCUCCAGAGAGAUGCUGAGAAGAUAAUAAGAGAAAUCCUGAAGGAUGAGAUUGGAGCCAACUCACAGCUGAGCAGGAGGAGUUGUGGUGCAGGAUGGCAUAGUGGAAUGUGGAGAAGUAAAGCAAAUCCAAGAAAGGCCUGUGAUCCAAGAUCAACAAAUAGAGGACACCACUGGAGACCCAGGAGACAUCUAGAGAAAGGCCAUGUCGGGUGGCUCCAGGUGAGCUGUCUGUUUCUACUCCAGUCCAUAGUGGGAGUAGGAGAUGGCAGCCAGCCCUUGGAGCUGGAGGGCUAUUGGUCUGGAGCUGCUGAGGGUCGUUUCAGCAUGUCCUGUAAGUGUGAGCAUCGGCAGGAGCAGAAGCACAGCUCUGAGAUGUCAUCCAAGCAGCCUGGGGAGUUCCGUUAGUCAUUUACUUAGCAUCCUCAAAAGAACUCUAUCAGAAGAGUCUUCUCUUCUGGAAAAGUGUGGAGAAGACAUGGUCAGGAGAAAGGCUGAGUCAUUCUCUUUUCCUCCUCAACACCAGUGUUCUGAAAAGAAGCUCUCCAGGACAGUGAUGCAAUGAGCUGUUCUGCUGAAGUGAAGUCUACUGUGAAGUCACAGGCUCACCUUGUCAGAAAAUGUUGAUUGCUUCUACCACUGGGGACAGACAGUUGACUUGGGUAAAUCCACCAGCCAUCAGGAGUAAGAGAGAGGAGGCAAAAUUGAACAAGACAAUUCAACAAUUUACCAUAAUCACUGAAGAGAACUACUUGAGCAAAAUUUACUAUAAUUUUGGAAAAACUUCAAAGCUAUUCCACAAUUGAGAGAGUUAUUUCCCCAUUUCCUUUAAACU